UAUGGACAUACACUCCAUAGUUGUAUAAUUAUAUAUGGACAUACUCUCCAUAGUUGUAUAAUUAUAUCUGGACAUACACUCCAUAGUUGUAUAAUUAUAUAUGGACAUACGCUCCAUAGUUGUACAAGUAUACAAGGAUAUAUUGUACUUUUCAUAAUAAAACAGACUUGAAACAAGAAAAAACCUGUUAAUUGUGAAAACAAUUUUGUAAUUGUAAAGGCUUCUGGGUGGAGGAGUCAGGCAGAGAGCAGGGUUCAAAACGUGGAUCUUCUGGGUGGAGGAGUCAGGCGCAGAGUGCAGGGUUCAAAACGUGGAUCUUCUGGGUGGAGGAGUCAGGCGCAGAGAGCAGGGUUCAAAACGUGGAUCUUCUGGGUGGAGGAGUCAGGCAGAGAGCAGGGUAGUUCAAAACGUGGAUCUUCUGGGUGGAGGAGUCAGGGGCAGAGAGCAGGGUAGUUCAAAACGUGGAUCUUUAUUCCAAGAACAGAGUAACGGCCAAACACAAGGGCGCAACCCAACAAACAGGACGGAACUGUCCGGAAAAACGGAAUCCACAAUAAUCCACAUGAACAGAAAAGCCAGCGGGCCGACGGGGUUUAAACAGCCCAAAACCCAAACAACAAACAGGUGCAACUAAACUAAAUGAAACAGAAAAGGUGAUCAGCUAGUAGACGACCGCCGAGCGCCGCCCGAACAGGAAGAGGCACCAUCUUCGGAGGGAUUUGAUUUAACGUUUCCUCUGUCAGGUUGAUGUUCACCUGCGACUGGUUGAAACAUGAAACAAAUAUGAAAUGAAAUACAAAACAAUUAAAUAUGUGAAAAUUAAUUAAACAAAUUGUACAAUUAGUACAACAGAGUUUUGUGAUGCAGGGUUACUAUAGCAACAGAGUGUUGUAAUGCAGGGUCACUAUAGCAACAGAGUUCUCUCUGCUCUCUCUCUUUCUGCUCGCUCUUUCUGUUCUCUGCUCUCUCUGUUCUCAUCCAUCAGAUGUCUGUGAUCUCACCCUGAACCUAAACACAGUAAACAGCCACCUCUCUCUGUCUGAGGAGAACAGAAAGGUGACAUGUAGGACGGAGGAGCAGCCGUAUCCUGAUCACCCAGAGAGAUUUGAGGUCUGUUCUGCUCUGACAACAGUUACUCUGCCUGUCACAAUAAUAAACCCACUACCAUAGACGUCUGCCCCUCCAGCCCCCACAGAGUAGGAGUGUAUCUGGACUGGCCAGCGUGAACUCUGUCCUUCUAUAGAGCCUCCUCUGACACACUGACCCACCUGAACACAUUCACCUCCACAUUCACUGAGCCCCUCUAUCCAGGGUUUUGGGUUUGGGAUGAUGGUGAAUCAGUGUUCCUCUGUCAGUGACACACACACUGGACACAACAACUAAAGCUCUAAAGUAACUUUUUAUUGACAGAUGCCUCAUUUAAAUGUUCUGGGUUUUGAUGAAAGGAAAUCCCAUAAAGCCUACUGGCCAGGACUUUGUUAUGGCAUCUUCUGAUUGGGUGUCUCAGGCCAUUACUUUGUUAUGGCAUCUUCUGAUUGGGUGUCUCAGGUCAGGACUUUGUUAUGACAUCUUCUGAUUGGGUGUCUCAGGUCAGGACUUUGUUAUGACAUCUUCUGAUUGGGUGUCUCAGGUCAGGUCUGAGCCAUGAUCAGAAUGUGUCUGUCUAUUUCCAGCCUUGCCAUUUCUACCUGUCCUGAUCUAGUGUUUGACCCCUGACCUCCACACAACGUCUCACUGUCCAUGUCUGCUUUUAGCUCCCACCUCUACUUCACUGUGUUAUAAUGAACCUUAUGCUUGUUAUGUCACCUCUGUAACCAGGUAUCAAACAUCCUGACCUUUCUGACCCUGUCCCAUGGCCCCACUUCACUGUGUUAUAAUGGACCUUAUGCUUGUUAUGUCACCUCUGUAACCAGGUAUCAAACAUACUGACCUUCCUGACCCUGUCCCAUGGCCCUACUUUCUACAACUAAACAUUUAAAUCCUCUAAGUUUUGUUUAGUGUCCACUUACUUAUUUAUUUAUGUAUUUGUUGUAUAUUGGGGUUGUGCAGCAGAGCAUCAUGGGGGUUUGUAUGUGUUGAGAUGAUCACGUUCCAGAUAAAUGGUUGAACUGA